AAGGAUUUAAGUUAUCUAAACUAGAAACCUUCAAAGUUUCCAAAAAAGAAAUUCUUUAAGCCUUA
rnacentral:tRNA from 1 species